rnacentral:rRNA from 2 species
ACGGGUGAGUAACACGUGAGUAAUCUGCCCUUGGCUUUGGGAUAGCCACCGGAAACGGUGAUUAAUACCGGAUACGACCACUCCUGGCAUCAGGUGGUGGUGGAAAGUUUUUCGGCCAGGGAUGUGCUCGCGGCCUAUCAGCUUGAUGGUGAGGUAAUGGCUCACCAUGGCUUCGACGGGUAGCCGGCCUGAGAGGGUGACCGGCCACACUGGGACUGAGACACGGCCCAGACUCCUACGGGAGGCAGCAGUGGGGAAUAUUGGACAAUGGGCGGAAGCCUGAUCCAGCAACGCCGCGUGAGGGAUGACGGCCUUCGGGUUGUAAACCUCUUUCAGCAGGGACGAAGCGCAAGUGACGGUACCUGCAGAAGAAGCACCGGCCAACUACGUGCCAGCAGCCGCGGUAAUACGUAGGGUGCGAGCGUUGUCCGGAAUUAUUGGGCGUAAAGGGCUCGUAGGCGGUCUGUCGCGUCGGGAGUGAAAACCAGGUGCUUAACACCUGGCUUGCUUUCGAUACGGGCAGACUAGAGGUAUUCAGGGGAGAACGGAAUUCCUGGUGUAGCGGUGAAAUGCGCAGA